GGGAUAUGGAGAGCACUGGAUCGAAGUGUAAAAAAAGGGACAUCCAAAUUGUUACUGAUUAUUCGGCGAAAUAAAAAAUUACCUUAUGGGAAGAAUUUGGAGAACAAUUUGCUCCUUAUUUGCACAACAAGGAUUCUGGCCCAUAUAUAGUCAUAGUAACUUCCACCAAAGUUAAAGAAUUCCGUGGUGAGGUUAGCUUCUCCACCACCUCUGCAAGCAAAGUAUAUGUAAAUCUUGAUAUAGAUUACACAAGAUAUUUGAUGCAAAAGUUUUCCACCAUGUCUACGGGAGUGCAAAUUAUCGAAAGCUCUAAUGUUAAUACCAUUCCUAUAGAGGAAGAGAUGUUUUUUAACCGGAUGGACAUUAAGGAGUUGUUAGAGUCUGAUUGGAGUCCUGAAAUACGGAU